rnacentral:rRNA from 1 species
GUUGAUCCUGGCUCAGGAUGAACGCUGGCGGUCUGCUUAACACAUGCAAGUCGAACGCAACCUUCGGGUUGAGUGGCGGACGGGUGAGUAACGCGUGAGAAUCUGCCUUGGGGUCGGGGACAACCACUGGAAACGGUGGCUAAUACCGGAUAAGCCUUUGGGUAAAAGAUUUAUUGCCCCAAGAGGAGCUCGCGUCUGAUUAGCUAGUUGGUGAGGUAAAAGCUCACCAAGGCAGCGAUCAGUAGCUGGUCUGAGAGGACGAUCAGCCACACUGGGACUGAGACACGGCCCAGACUCCUACGGGAGGCAGCAGUGGGGAAUUUUCCGCAAUGGGCGAAAGCCUGACGGAGCAAGACCGCGUGAGGGAGGAAGGCUCUUGGGUUGUAAACCUCUUUUCUCAGGGAAGAAGCUCUGACGGUACCUGAGGAAUCAGCCUCGGCUAACUCCGUGCCAGCAGCCGCGGUAAUACGGAGGAGGCAAGCGUUAUCCGGAAUUAUUGGGCGUAAAGCGUCCGCAGGUGGCGAUUCAAGUCUGCUGUCAAAGCACGGGGCUUAACUCCGUUAAGGCAGUGGAAACUGAAUAGCUAGAGUGCCGUAGGGGUAGAGGGAAUUCCCGGUGUAGCGGUGAAAUGCGUAGAGAUCGGGAAGAACAUCGGUGGCGAAAGCGCUCUACUGGACGGCAACUGACACUCAGGGACGAAAGCUAGGGGAGCGAAUGGGAUUAGAUACCCCAGUAGUCCUAGCUGUAAACGAUGGAUACUAGGUGUAGCUUGUAUCGACCCGAGCUGUGCCGAAGCUAACGCGUUAAGUAUCCCGCCUGGGGAGUACGCACGCAAGUGUGAAACUCAAAGGAAUUGACGGGGGCCCGCACAAGCGGUGGAGUAUGUGGUCUAAUUCGAUGCCACGCGAAGAACCUUAC